rnacentral:rRNA from 1 species
AACAGGAGAAGCUUGCUUCUCGCUGACGAGCGGCGGACGGGUGAGUAACGCGUAGGAAUCUACCCAGUAGCGGGGGAUAGCUUGGGGAAACUCAAAUUAAUACCGCAUACGCCCUACGGGGGAAAGCAGGGGAUCUUCGGACCUUGCACUAUUGGAUGAGCCUGCGUUGGAUUAGCUAGUUGGUAGGGUAAAGGCCUACCAAGGCGACGAUCCAUAGCUGGUCUGAGAGGAUGAUCAGUCACACCGGAACUGAGACACGGUCCGGACUCCUACGGGAGGCAGCAGUGGGGAAUAUUGGACAAUGGGGGCAACCCUGAUCCAGCCAUGCCGCGUGUGUGAAGAAGGCCUUCGGGUUGUAAAGCACUUUAAGCAGGGAGGAAGGCUGUGUAGUUAAUACCUGCACAGAUUGACGUUACCUGCAGAAUAAGCACCGGCUAACUCCGUGCCAGCAGCCGCGGUAAUACGGAGGGUGCAAGCGUUAAUCGGAAUUACUGGGCGUAAAGCGCGCGUAGGCGGCUGAUUAAGUCGGGUGUGAAAGCCCCGGGCUCAACCUGGGAACUGCAUCCGAUACUGGUCGGCUAGAGUACGAGAGAGGGAGGUAGAAUUCCACGUGUAGCGGUGAAAUGCGUAGAUAU